CCGCAACCCGUCUGCACCGAACCAUUUACUACCCGGACCGUUUAUAACUUGAACCGAAUUUAAACCGUUCAAAAAUAAACCAAAAUCGAAUCGAAUCGAUAAUUAUUUAAACCAAACUGAAACCGACCCAUAAGACACUUGAACCGAUUUCUAACCGACCCGAUUUCAAACCGAACCGAAACCAAACUAUGAAACCGUUUUGACAGUCUGUAUUACUAUGUAAAUCUUGGUAUUAUUACAUGUUCACAGUAAGAAUGUUGUCGGCAUUGACAUCUUGACGACAUCAUCUUUGCGGUCACUGUUGUAAUGUUGUGACAUGUCAUAUUGUGUAGUUUUAAUGACCAGGGAAAGUUGCUAUUGCCACAUGCAUCGUAUCCUCUCCUCUGUUUGAUAUGUGUCCUUGUACAAUCUCUAUAUACGAUUCGUUCUUAGCCUGAACCCUUAUAUCCUCCUGCUCUGUUUGCUCUUGGAUAACAAUAGUGAAGAGAAAGGGAGGGGAAAGAAAAAGAGGUAAUGGAAAGGGAGGAGAGUGGAGGGAGAAGGUGACCUUUCAUUUUCUUUCCAAAUUUCUCCGAAAAAACUAAAGAACGUCUUUUUCAAUUACACAGUCUGAAGAAUACCAAUUUUUCAACCUACAUCACUAUGCUGUCGGCCACCGUGAUAUUGGCAAACACCUAUGCAGAAAACAUGUGGAGUAGCAACAGCAAGAAGAGGAGUCUUCCUAUGUAUAGUGAGACCAGUGCAUUCAGACAUGUCAAGUGUUUCGGCACUGACCCCAGCAGUCCUGUCGUUUUAAUUCUAUCGAAGAGUUCAAAAACCUUUCAGGACGAAACUCCUCAGGCUCUUCCCAUGUAGCAGGGUCUCUCUGUACUGCCCAAGCGUU